rnacentral:rRNA from 1 species
AUUGAACGCUGGCGGCAGGCCUAACACAUGCAAGUCGAACGAGUGGCGGACGGGUGAGUAAUGUCUGGGAAACUGCCUGAUGGAGGGGGUUAACUACUGGAAACGGUAGCUAAUACCGCAUACCAUCGGAUGUGCCCAGAUGGGAUGAGCUAGUAGGGGGGGUAAAGGCUCACCUAGGCGACGAUCCCUAGCUGGUCUGAGAGGAUGACCAGCCAAACGGGAACGGAGACACGGUCCAGACUCCUACGGGAGGCAGCAGGGGGGAAUAGUGCACAAUGGGCGCAAGCCUGAUGCAGCCAUGCCGCGUGUGUGAAGAAGGCCUUCGGGUUGUAAAGCACUUUCAGCGGGGAGGCGUUACCCGCAGAAGAAGCACCGGCUAACUCCGUGCCAGCAGCCGCGGUAAUAC